rnacentral:rRNA from 1 species
UACGGAGGGUGCAAGCGUUAUCCGGAUUUACUGGGGUUUAAAGCGCACGUAGGCGGUUUGUUAAGUGAGAGGUGAAAAUCCCCAGAGCCUCAACUCUGGAACUGCCUUUCAAUACUGGCAAGCUAGAGUCCGGAAGAGGUAAGUGGAACUCCUAGUGUAGAGGUGGAAAUUCGUAGAUAUUAGGAAGAACACCAGUGGCGAAGGCGGCUUACUGGUCCGGAAGCUGACGCUGAGGUGCGAAAGCGUGGGGAGCAAACAGG